UCAGAAAUAGUUAUAAGUACUUUUGUGAGUUAUGCUUCUUUGAUAAACUUAAAACAUCUGGUCUACUACCAUUAUUACCGACUAUUGAAAGAGAAAUAGAGCACUUGAAUAUAUUCAAGUAUGUGUAAAUUGGAAUAUAUUAUCUAGCAGGCGUUCACUUUCAAUUAAUAUUUCCUCAGAAUGACAUUUCUCAAGAAAGAAGCAGUUUGUAGUUAAGCUAACAUAUUACCAUACUUCAAGGGAGACUUUUAGAAAGGACUUUUGUUAAUGAAUCACUAAGUAGCAGGUCUUUGUUUACAAAUCACAGCACACAUUCACUUCUAACCAGUAGGAAAGAGGAUGCAAGGAGCCAUCUCAGGAACUGGGUGUAAAGAGGGGUCUGAAAUGAUGAAACCAGACAAAAGAGAAUAGUUAUGUCAAAGUUAUAGCAAGAAGACAACCUAAGGGACUCUAUGACAUAUACUAGGAGUCUGCCUGCAUGGCACAAACAGAGAAAAAUUCAGAGAGAAGAAAACCUUUUUUGUUGUAAUCUUGAACUCCAUUUUCAGUUGUUUUGAUUCAUUUCAUGGUCUUAAGGACAAUUAUUUGGCUUCCAUUCCUAAAGCUUUCCUUAAGACAAAAGACUUGGAGUAAAGAAUCCACUCAUUCCCUUGUACAUUAAUUUGCAGUGUGCUUUGUUCUAUUAGGUGUGUUUCAAAUGGCUUCCAAGCCACAGUAAUGGCAAUUUUUUGGCAAUUGAAUAAAUAGGUUUCAAUUCAUAUUUUGCUACUUUGCCAGGUAAAUUUAGCAACAUUAUUCCACGGUCAUAUAUAAUGAUAGCACUAUUUGGGAAAAAUAAUUAAAUGACACCAGAGCUACUAUUUAAUUAUCUUGGCUUGCUAAGAAUAAGUCAUUGGUUUUAUUUUCACAAUUCUCUUUUGUAUUCCAGUUACUAAUUCCACCAAUUCAUUCAACUCCUUUCCUAGAUAGCUGUUCGCAUUUCACCAUUUUUGUGUAGCCACACAUACCCUGUAAAGAAAGUAUAUGAUGGCAGCAAAUGCCAAGGUUACAAGAGGAAUGGACGGAAAAAGCAUUGGAAAUAAGUGUUCUGAUUUUGACCAUUUGCAUUUAGCACUGGUACUAAUAAUAGUGAUUAAGGGAAUUCUAAGUAUUUACCAAGGGAAAGAGCCAAUACAACCUUCAUCUUUAUUUAGCAAUUGUUCUUUCUAUCAUGAGGAAAUUAGAGGUUUGGGCAGGAAAGCCUUUUCCACUGCCAUCAAGGUCUAUCAACAAAAUCUAAAUGUUAAAUGUUUGAAAUACUCAUUUAAAUACUACUCAUCAGCUCAGUCAUAUGGGAAAGGAAACAAUAACUGAAUUUCUAAAACAAACCACAAUAAUUGAAGAACAAAUGAAAAAGAAUUAAUCUCCUUUAUGCAUGUGUGCACAUGUGCCUGUUUAUGUGUGUGUGUGUGUGUGUGUGUUGUGUGUUGAAGUAUCAGUAUAAAGAAUGUAGAAGAAACGUAGUUAUUUAUCUCACCACACUUAUGAUUUGUGCUGCUUUUGGCACCAAUAUCAUAGGACACCCCUAGGACAGCAGCACUGAGCACCUGAUGCUGAAUUUACAACAGUUAUUUAGUUGAAAUACUCCUUUGUGUUUUCUAGUGUUUUGCUGAGACCAGGUAAAAGAGAUUUGUGCCCUUAGAUAUACACACGAUUGCCCAAAUAUAAUUCACCUUCCUAGUGUCUGUUUAAAUAACCACCAGAAAACUUUGCAAUCAUACCAAUGCAGAAGUACUAGUUUCCAAUACCCAUCACAACUCCAUUGCAGGAUCUCUGAGCCCAGAGCAUAAAGAUCUUUUAUCAGAGUUUAAUCUCAUUCCAGUGAUGGCCAAAUAUUAUUCCAGUUCACUCACGGUGGCUCUUCAUGCAGUGAAUGGUGCCUUUUGGAAAUAAAAGUUUCUCUUCUUAUUAAUUCCCCAAAAGAUGUUUGUACAGAUAUGAAACAGAAUGUGAGCAACCCCACCUUUUUCCCCAGAGGAAAAAUAAAGUUCUAUCUUUCAUAUGAUAAACCUUUAAUAAUUAUUAAACCAAUGAAACAAAAAUAAUAAAUGAAUAAAAUUUUAUGAAUAAAUGAAUAAAAAAUUCAUUAUUUUUUCACAAUGAAUAAAAAAAUUAAGGAUUGAUAGCUCUUGACAUUUCAUUGUAGUUUCUUUGCUAAAUACCUUCAUUAUGGAGUCCAUUUAUUGAAAUGUAUAAACUUUUAUCUAGAUUACAGAGUACUGCUUUCUCAAAUGUUAUUACCAAAAACCAUACUCUGCAAUAUGGUAAGAACUGUGUAUGUGGAGAAAUUUCCUCGUUAGGUAACAUUUAGGAAACUGUGCAGAAUAUACUUCCCCACCCUCUUUAGCAUGAAAGCCUGUGAAUAUUCUGUAAUGAAGUUAAUUCAAUUUAUUCAACAUGGAAUUUCUCAAAAAUAUCUUCAUAGCUCCUAACACAUUAGAAUCCACUCCAUGUGGCUUAGGAAAAGAUGGUAUAGGCAGUUUGUUCCAGCUUUAAGUAAUGCGAUUUUUGAAAUUGUGAAUGUUAAGACAAUUUUUCAAGCAAUAUUUAAAGCAAAUUCUUUAAGAAAAUUUCUGAGUGCAUAAUCUUCAUUACCUUCCCCAUCAGAUAUCAGUGGAAAAUGUCAAAUUGCUUCAUAAAUAAAAGCUAAAGAUGACAUGUAUAGUAGGGAAUUGAAGUGGAGAUGAGGGGAGUCUAAUUUUAUGCAAUAGGCCAUGUUCAUUCCAUCUUUCCUUGGCUGAGAUUGAUUCAGCUCACUUGUUCAGGAUGGCCUUUGUAGUUAGGUUGUGUUGGGCAAUUUCCUAUAGUGAGUUUGUUUUUGGGAACUGUCUUCACACUGUCAUGAGAUUAUGGGUUAGUAAAGUAUGGCACACUAGGUUAUCAAUUAUUUUCUUUUUUCUUUUUUUAUUUUUUGUUUUUUGAGACAGGGUUUCUCUGUGUAGCUUUGGAGCCUAUCCUGGCACUCGCUCUGGAGACCAGACUGGCCUUGAACUCACAGAGAUCUGCCUGCCUCUGCCUCCCAAGUGCUGGGAUUAAAGGCGUUUGCCACCAAUGCCCAGCUAUCAUUUAUUUUCAUACACAAAAUUUUUACUGAAGCACAACCAAGAAGCUGAAAAUAGCAUAUGAUUGGUUUUGAUCUACAAUCACAGCUCGUGUACCUUCAGUAGAAAUCACCUAGCUCAUAAAACCAAAAUUAUAAAAUAUAUGGCUCUUAAUGGAAUAGAUUUACUUACCCCUGCUCACAAUAAUCUGCAUUUUAAUUCACAUAAAUUCAAAUACUCUUCGAAGAAUAAGAUGUUGUCUUUAGUUAAUAAGCUGAAUUAAAUUUUGUUUUGUUGGUUAUAUACAUUGUCUUAGUAAAACUGGCAAUAUACAAAUUUGUACGUAGGCUUCAAAUUCCACUUGUGUCAGCAAUGACCUACAUGAGCUUGCUGCUGGAAGGCUGGAAUCAUGAUGGCAUUAAGCACACUCACUUUGUCAACUGUAGAAUUCAAACAUGAAAUGUAACUCAUCUAUUUAUUUGAACAGCCAAAGCAUAUUCCAUUUUAUAAAUUGAUUAAGUUUAAUUAAUAUGAUUUUUAUUAGAAUGUUCCUAAGUAACACACUUAUAUUCACUCUUGAAUAUUUAUGUCUUCAUCAUAGGUAUUGCUUUGUCUAGGCCAAUAUCUAAUUCCUUCCCUAGAUUCUUCCCCAAGGAGACCACAUUUAAAAGAAUGUUGUUCAGUUGUGUAAGCAUAAAGCAUCCCUAUUUUUGACAUGUGGUUCAAUUUCUCAUUCUUGUUAAACAGCUGCAGAACUACUUCUCUCUGAUGGCCUUUCAUUAAAUGCAUAACUUGAUUUAUUUAUUUGAUUAACCAUCUGUGUCUUUCAAGCAUUGUUUUAGUUGAUUCAUUGAAACAGAGAUAUUUCACCAUUUCAUCUUUAUAGAUUAGGUUCAUUUUCAUUUGUUUUAGUUUCUAUUCUUCAAUAUCGAAGUCAGAGCAGAAACAAGUAUUCUGAAACAUCAGAUAUAUAUUUUGCUCUCUGGGGAACAUAAAAGAUUUAGCUAUUUCUAGAAUGGAAAAAAGAUGAGAGUCGAUACCAGGAGGUUCAGAGAAACUUCCCGAUUCCAAUCAAUUCACAUACAGGAAAAUUUAUUGAAUACCUAAGUGCUACCAAAUCAUAUGUGGAUUACUAGCCAGUGUCUGUCUGAAGAGGCAGUAAGGGCACAUGAGGGAUACCUGACAGGCACCACGGAAGCCAACAGAUCUUGGGGAAGAAAAUAGCUCCUGCCAAAAGCGUUGGGAUAACUGUGCACUAUACACCUAUUCGUACCAAAGCCUGAGGUUUGUGACUUUCUUCAUUUCAAUGAAUUGAUAGAGAGAUAGAAGCAAUUGCAAACCUCAAGCAUUUACCAAUACUCAGGUAAAAAUUUCCCUAACAGUGAAAUUUUAGGGAAUUUAGGAAUUUAGUCAAUUCCUAAGAGCUCUCCACCAUAUUUUUUUCUUUUUAAGUUAAUUUUUAUUUUCCAUUUUGCUAUGUGUAUAAUAAAUAGACAUAUCCAGAAGCAUUUUGACAAAUUUAAAAUAAACUUUUAUCUACAUUAGUAAUGUAUAGUUUAUUAGCUAUAAACUAGAGUCUUUAACCUGAAUCAGACACUACCAAAUUCAGUCAGUCCCACAUAAUAAUUCAAUACUUAAAUUCUUCAAGAGUUUUUCUUGAUCACACAGAACACCUAAGUAUGAUUCUGUGUCUACAUGUUGGUGGUCAUCUACCUGCUAAGAGGGCAAGAACAUUGUUUAAAGAAAACAAUGACAACCAAAAGACACUUUAUAUGUUGGCAUGAGCAUGCUGGAGAUGGAACCCAGGGACAUAUGCAGACUGGGCAAUGCUCCAAACUGAGUUUCAGCUCCAGGAGGAAAACCUUUCCAGUUGUCUGUUAAUCUUUCCUUUGGAAAAUAUUCCUUGAUAAACCACAUUGAUUGAGGAUGGGCCCUACAUUACAUGUGUUUUAGAAGCCUGUAAAACUGCACAAAAAGAUGGGCUGAAGUUGAUUUAUUGAUUGAUGUAGAAAAUGAGAUGAGGUCACAUUUCAUAUUAGAAAUAAAUGAUUUUAUGAAUAAAUUUGUAAAAAGGGUUUUACAAACUGCAAAGGAGGAUAUGACCAAGAAAUGUCAGCUUUCUGUUAUUAGUGGUGGUAAUUAUGAUGAGAUACAGAAUGCAGGAGGGUCAAAGAAGGAGACUUUAACUUGUAUUUUCUGCUUUUUUAUUUUAAGGUAUGAUCCUACUAUGUAGCUCAGGCUGACUUCUCACAUUCUUGAUCUUCUAGGAGUCUUUGUUUUCUAAAUAAUACAAAAGCAACUUAGGUUUUUGAGAAUUAAUCUCUUUUCCACUCUCUCAUUCUCUUGCUAUUUCUUUAUCAUUCUCUUCCACAUGCACAUAGCGUAAGAAGAAAAUUUUCACAAACAUUAUGAAAUAUGAUAUAUUGAUUUUCCCAAAACACAAUUGUGAAAGGUUUGCUUAAAAUCGUACACAAACACAGAGUUCAGUCAGAAGAGAUGAGAAACAGCACUGUGAUGAUUAAAAUUAUCAUGUUGGUUUAUAAAAUAUAAUUAAAAUAAACAUGUCGGAUUAUUCAAUAUUUUACACACAUCAGAAUACAAGACUAUUAAGAAAUGGCAUUGGAUAAACCAUGCAAGGCUGUGAGUUAUAUACUAGGAGUUUCAAUUUAGUAAAUAAUAAGGAGAAAGCAUAAAUUUCUAGCAGUAGGUGAUAUGAACAGGACUUUCAAAAAUAUCUGAUUUAAUAACUGUAGUUAUAAUAUAUAGAUGCUGUAAAAGAGCAAAUGUGAAAGAGUAAUGGUCAAAUGAUAGUUGCUGAAUUAGGAACUGAAGAUAAAAAUGUAUGCAGAGAUGUAAUGAUGAGCAAUGUACUCAAUUAAAUAGGAUUCAUGGCCUAUUGCAUAUCUGCUGGUAUUUUGUUUAUUUCCCUAUUGUCUAAGAAUUCUUGAAAGCAAUAACUCUGACUCCGGUCUGAUACUUCACCUCUUUCUUCAUCUGAAUCAGAGUAAGUGUUUUGGGUUACUUUCAACCAACUAAGUGUGGUCUUUAAUCAACAACUGGUAACAAUGAUAAUCGAAUAACACACAGCAUGAAUGAGUUAACAGCAUGUUCUGAGAGAAUUGAGUGGACUUGAUCUGUUUGCUGCAAUUAUUGUUAGCCCAAUCACCUCCAACUUGCUUGUUAAGAUGAUCACUGUACUGCAAGCACAUUUCUGAUGUCAGUCAUCUACCCAGAUAAGGCGGGUCUCUUUCUCACUACAUUUCUACAUUUUUCUCCUGCAGCUUUAUAAAAUGUGGAAGUCCCAUUUUCAAUUUACUUCAAUAAUUUUCCUUACAACAUAGCCCUAACUACUCAUGUAGUCCAGGAUUCACUCCCAGACCCUAUUUUUUUUUCUAAAAUUGUGAUUACAAUUUGGAUGACCUCAUCCCAUUUUAUGGCUUUAAAUACCACAUAAUAUUCUUAUAAAAAUCAAAAUUGCAUUUCCAGUUCACUCCUAUCCUCUGACAUUUCUAUGUGGUUGCUUAAUAGUCAUUUCAAAUUUAGUAUAUCCAAAAUAAGAUUAUUGAUUCUCACUCUGUGUGGUUCUCCACCUGUUUAGCAUCUACAUUGUCCAAUGCACACUCUAUAAAAAUAGGGGCCAGGUUAGGAAUGUGGUUAUUGUUACCUCAUGCCAACAACACUCACUGAUACAAAAAGGACUGAUUUGAAAUUAAGCAAAUUUUACAAUUCCCAGUGACUGGCAUGUAUCAAACAAGUCCAGAUGCUAGUGCUGCUAUUUUUCCAAUACUUUAAGACAAGCAUGCUUCCACAAGAGUCAAUGGACACAUUAAAUGGUUAUUCUCUUCCUAUUUUGAAAGGAUGGCUUGCCUACCUAUAUUCCAUAUAUAGGAAAGAAGCACAUUUGAGACCUCAGUAAUUAUAAUGGGCAUAUCUUCCUUGCAGUAGAUAUCUAUGGUGUUUUCCUUUCUGGCCAGUGGCUUGGUUCUACUUCUUUUGUUUGAUGCAUAUACUUCCUUUAUAUAUAUUAUAGUCAAGACAGGAUGAUUUCUCUCCCUAUAGAAGCCAACAGAAUUCCAUCAUUGCCUUCUUUUGUUUUUCUAGCAUCCAUACUACUCUAUUAACCAGAAAUCUCUGACAAGAAUUAUGUUGACUCUGAACACGGGGAAAUAAAAGCACAGUGAUGACAAACAGCGACAAUUCAUGGCUCUGAUCAGGGACUAGGAGAGGGCACAGCUGCAUCAUUUGAGGAUCAGACCCGAAAGGCUCAGCCAGAAGCAGUUGAGGGCAUCAGGACUCAGAAACUUCCCAGCAGAUGCUCCCUCAGUUGCUCUCAUGGAGACACAUGGCCUGUCUUUUGAUAGCUCAGUAAUGUGGACACCCCAGCCUACAGACCUGCAUCAUGCCUGCCAGAUUUCUGGCCACCUGUUUCAAGUAUUGCGUAGAAAGUCCUUCAUUCCAGACGUGUGAGUCAGCUUACAGGGAAUUCUCAUGUGUCUCAGGGUUACUCUUGAGAAAGAUCACAUGUGAACAGUGACACAUUCUUCAGCUCUGCCAAGGCAAAAUCCCAAAUAUGACCUUUAGCAGCAAAAAAGGUUAAUAAGACAAUUAGAAUAAUUUUAAGUAGAUCUUUAGGUGGUUUGUCAAGGAAAAUCAGAGAUCAGUUCAGAUUGGUAGGAUAUUUUAUACUGUGGAGGUCAGAAGUUGUUUAACUGAUUACUAGUUUGCCUUGAUUGUUAAGAACUUACAAAAGAAGUUGUAAUCUAGGUAAAUGAAGAACUCAAAUCAUCCUUCAGAGAACAGAUGCUGUCAAGGAAUGUGGUACCAUAGGAGCAAUACUGAGCAGGAGGUAGAAACCAAUAUGAUUUUUCCUGAGGAUUGAUACUUAUUAGUUUAGACUACAAUCAUUUUUGUAUAUGUGCAUAUUCAAGAAUUCAAUAUUUCCUUGACAGCUAAAGAAGGGGACUGACUAUGUUCAUAAGUCACCUGUUUGAAGAGGCUUUUCCAAGUGCCAUCUCACUAUGGAUGCUGAGAAAGUUAAGACUAUUUUUAUGAAGUACUAUGGGCACAGGUCCUUCCUGUGACAGAUAUGAGAAUCAAUGAUGAGGAUUCAGCUCCACGGGCUGUACAGAAUUACCAAAUAACACUGAUCUAUUGGAUUAUCCAGGCCCACUUAGGUUUCUAUGCUGUAACUGCCACCUGCCUCUACUCCAUCUCUGAGUACAUCAUUAUUGAACAUACAAGGAAAAGUACAAACUAAAAAAAAAAAAUACUGUGCCUUUAAGAGGUUUUGCACUGCUAAUGACAGAGCUGCAGAAAACUAUCGACUAAUCCUCUGAGCCUUGGAAUCCAUGGGCUGUGCUGCAAAAUACAUCUUAAUUAACCACCGAAUCAAGGGAUCAAUGUGUGAACCAUUACAGGCACAGCAUUGCACCAAGCACAGAACACCUGGGAAAGCAGAUUGUUCUGUCAUCAUGCAAAUGCCAGGAGUACCAAGACAGAUGUAUGGGGAAAUCCGUAUGGCAAGAAACUAGCUUCCUGCCAAGUCAUGCGAGGAAGAAAUGCUGGAAAUAGAUUCCAUGGUUAACCUUUUGUGAGUCUGUAGCCAAGCCCAUUUCGGGACAACAAUCUCAUGAAGAACUCUGAGCAAUAACCAUUCAUCUAAUCCACUCCCAAGUUUCUGAACAAAGACAAAACUGAAAAUGUAUCAUAUUAGUCUUCAUAGCAGAGAGACAUAAUCCUGAAUCACCUAAAUAAAAUCAUGCUUCAAGUUUCUUCUCUAAAGGAAAGUUUAUCCUGGAAUCUAAGUAGGACUCACUUUAAGAUGGUUUGAAUAUGAUGACUACAGCAGCAAAGAACUUGAGUAAUUGUCACUUGUCCUCCAGAGAAACCAGAGUUAUCACACUUGCUUCAAGACUGACCACUCUGCACUGGAUAACCAAUAAAGGAAGGGGGUCUUUCCUGGAUCAUCCCUCUUCUUCUCUCAAUAUUCAUUAGUUGACUGGUUUUGUUGCAGUUGUUUUGUUUUAUCUAGAGACUCACAACAUUUUCUUUCUUCCACAUAUAUAUGUCACUUGCUGUUUCUAUUGUUCCAGUUUUAUUUAUACAACCAUUUCAUGUGUGUUGCUGUAAAGUGUUUUAUUUUCCUUUUGCUUUUUGCAACAAGCUCUCAGGUAGCUGGAUCCUACUGCCUAUCCCUCCCAAGUACUGGUACUACAGAGAUACUCCACAAACAUGGACUUAUACUUAUUUUAUGAAAUUUUCUUAUUUAGAGAAACCAGAAGGUGUCACCAGAAUAAUGCUGCUUUAACAUAUUUUUUCUUAGCAAAAAAAGCACCCCUUCCUCUCCUCCCCACAUUGUCUUAUACAAAGGAAGCAGAAAUGUUAUUCCAAAUAUAUCUUUAACUUUCUCAUGCGUUUACCCUCACAGUUUCCUCUCUCUCUAAGCCUGUCUUCUUUUCUCUCUUUUGUGACUUCUCUUAUUGCUUUGUCUUUUGUUUUUACAACCUUUCCCCCCACAAGAUACAUACUUCAUGCCAGUGCUAUGGAGGGAGCCAUUUUGCUCAAUUAUUAUUCCCUCUUUCCAGCUAUGUCUAGGUUUGUGUCAAGUUGAAAAUACAGCACAGGAUCCCAUAGACUUUGUCAGUCACUAAAGACUUAACCACUGCCAAUCUCCACAACUAGAGAGGAAAAAUCUAUUGCCACUGUUGUCUACAUUCAAAAUUGUUAACUUCAUUUUGCUUGAUCUCUUAUUGUCUCUUUUUGGCAUUACCCUGAAAUGGUGACAAUCUCAAAUAUUCUUCUCUUAUUCCACCAUUAUCACUAUACAAUCUAUAUAAGAGUUCUCAAUUGUCUACAUGAAUAUUCUGUAUAUGCUGUUGCUGACUUCUAAACCUUAUUUGCAAGUCCAUGUCACUUUGUUGAGGUUUAACACCAAAAUAAACUAUUGGAUCCUCAAAUCUAACAUGCCCAGGAACAAAUUCUGUUUUUCUUUCUAAGUCUAUCAGCCAUUUAUCGUCUCUAUCAGUGCAAUUAUCAACUAACACAUGUCCUGGGGUGGUCUAUUUUUAAAUCAAGUUUGUCAGAAUAUAUGGUUACCCUGUUUCAUUCCUAUGGUCUUGAGCAUCUCCAUAUUUGCCAGUCUGACUUGCUGUCGAUUGUAUCUGCAUCUCCAUACAUAGCAAGUAGGAGGACCAAAUGAUUAAUAGUCCCUGCUUUUGACCAGUGGCUGAUGGCAACUGGUUUAUAAAUAUCCUCCAUCCACUCUCCUUGGGUGGAAUGCAUUUUAUGUGUCUGUUAACAUAGUUAUAAAGCAUAUGUUCUCUACUGUCUUCUAAAGUUUCUCAGCAGGAUUAAGUGCCAGUUGCCCACAGUGGUAAUUUGCAUGAAAAUAUGCCCUUUAUUCACUGAAAUAUCUUCCUUGCUUUAUUUCCUUAUUUUCCUGAUGGCAUUUUCUUCCUUUCCAAAUUAAACUGCUACCAAUUGCAUUUUCAUCUCAGGGUCUGCUUCUAAAAUCCCAAGCCAAGGCAGCUUUCCUCUGAAUAUAGUGUCAAACACUUGAUUUGCAUUAGUAACUAUAUCUAGAUUCUAUCCACAUUAUUUCUACUGGGUUUUACAUUCUCAUGAUAUUUUGUUCUGGAAAAUUCCACAGACACUUCUUGUGUUCGUGUUUCUGUUUCUACACCUGCCUAACUCAAAAUCCAUUCUCCACACAGCUAGAAGAAUUAUAUGAAUUCUUCCUUUGGGUUGGCACACAGCCAUUGUGGGUACCAACACAUCAGUUCUUCUGUCACUUCUUUGGCUGAAACCUUUCGGUGGCCUUCUCUCACCAAUGAAAAUGCUGACUUCUUCUUUUUUCUUUUUUCUUUUUUCUUUUUUGUUUUUUGUUUUCUCUGUGGCUUUGGAGAC